rnacentral:rRNA from 1 species
CCUACGGGAGGCUGCAGCUAAGAAUAUUCCGCAAUGGACGAAAGUCUGACGGAGCGACGCCGCGUGGAUGAAGAAGGCCGAAAGGUUGUAAAAUCCUUUUGUCGGGGAAGAAUAAGCGUGGGAGGGAAUGCCCGCGUGAUGACAUGAACCGGCGAAUAAGCCCCGGCUAACUACGUGCCAGCAGCCGCGGUAACACGUAGGGGGCAAGCGUUGUUCGGAAUUACUGGGCGUAAAUUGCAUGUAGGCGGUUGAAAUUCUGCAGCUUAACUGUAGGACUGCGCUGGGAACUGCGAGACUGGAGUCACGGAGAGGGAGCCAGAAUUCCAGGUGUAGGGGUGAAAUCUGUAGAUAUCUGGAAGAAUACCAAUGGCGAAGGCAGGCUUCUGGCCGAUGACUGACGCUGAGGUGCGAAAGCGUGGGUAGCAAACAGGAUUAGAUACCCCUGUAGUC